rnacentral:rRNA from 1 species
AACGAACGCUGGCGGCAGGCUUAACACAUGCAAGUCGAGCGCGUAGCAAUACGAGCGGCAGACGGGUGAGUAACACGUGGGAAUCUACCCAUCACUAGGGAAUAACUCAGGGAAACUUGUGCUAAUACCCUAUACGACCGAGAGGUGAAAGAUUUAUCGGUGAUGGAUGAGCCCGCGUUGGAUUAGCUAGUUGGUGGGGUAAAGGCCUACCAAGGCGACGAUCCAUAGCUGGUCUGAGAGGAUGAUCAGCCACACUGGGACUGAGACACGGCCCAGACUCCUACGGGAGGCAGCAGUGGGGAAUAUUGGACAAUGGGCGCAAGCCUGAUCCAGCCAUGCCGCGUGAGUGAUGAAGGUCUUAGGAUUGUAAAGCUCUUUCACCGGUGAAGAUAAUGACGGUAACCGGAGAAGAAGCCCCGGCUAACUUCGUGCCAGCCGCCGCAGUAA